rnacentral:rRNA from 1 species
GUUUAGAACGUCGUGAGACAGUUCGGUCCCUAUCUGCCGUGGGCGUUGGAAGAUUGAAGGGGGCUGCUCCUAGUACGAGAGGACCGGAGUGGACGAACCUCUGGUGUUCGGGUUGUGUCGCCAGACGCAUUGCCCGGUAGCUAAGUUCGGAAUCGAUAACCGCUGAAAGCAUCUAAGCGGGAAGCGAGCCCUGAGAUGAGUCUUCCCUGAUACUUUAAGUAUCCUGAAGGGUUGUUCGAGACUAGAACGUUGAUAGGCAGGGUGUGUAAGCGCUGUGAGGCGUUGAGCUAACCUGUACUAAUUGCCCGUGAGGCUUAAUCAU